rnacentral:tRNA from 1 species
GCCUGGGUGGCUCAGUCGGUUAAGCGUCUGACUUCGGCUCAGGUCAUGAUCUCACGGUCCGUAGGUUCGAGCCCCGCGUCGGGCU